UCUAUAUGUAGUAUAUACUGGGGGCUGAGUCUAUAUCUAUAUAUAUAUAUAUAUAUAUAUAGUGUAUACUGGGGGCUGAGUCUAUAUGUAGUAUGUACUGGGGGCUGAGUCUAUAUGUAGUAUGUACUGGGGGCUGAGUCUAUAUGUAGUAUAUACUGGGGGCUGAGUCUAUAUAUAGUAUGUACUGGGGGCUGAGUCUAUAUGUAGUAUGUACUGGGGCUCAAUGUCCCAAAUGGUGCACUAUUCCCUCUAUAGUGUACUACUUUCGGCGAUGGGCCCUAUUCUGUAGUGCACUACAUUUGACCAUGGGCCCUAUUCUGUAGUGCACUACUUUCGACUAUGGGCCCUAUGGGCUAUUCUAUUGAAUACAAAAUAAGUCCAUAGACUCCAGUAGAAUUCAGUUGUGGAUAUGUUUUAUACCUGAUUAAACUCAGUAGAAGGGCUGGUUUGUAAUUGACAUAAAAUGUAUUGUUAUGUCAUGAUCUGGAUGGAACCUGUGUUUUUUUAAAUUUUGUUCUGUUCCGGAACAGUAUAGAUCCCUUUCGUUGUCAGUUCUGGUUCUGUUCCUUGAAAUUCCGUUUUUCUUUUCUGUUCCCUGAACUGGUUCCAACCCCUGGUUUAGAAUAUUGUAAAGUAUCCAUUAAUUAAAUAAUAAAUGCUAACAAACUGUAAUCUUCUUCUUCAUUGAAGGUGGAUGAUGUUGGUAGAUUGUCUUUGUCCAUGAAAAGUCAGUAUUGUAUCAAGGUGAUGAUAAAUCACAAGAUUAAAAGAUGCCAGACA
ensembl:lncRNA